GGGGAGGGUGUUUACUGUUACUUUUGAUGGAUGAAAAGGUAAAGGGAAGGAAGGAGUCUUGUGUGGUGCUUGAUGGAUAAAGAUAGAUUGCACAAUUUCAACGUAGAAAAGUGUCGCUAUUUUAUCUUUUUAUUUUCAAGGUUGCUUAAAAUCAUUCUCAAAAUUUGUUGUGUAUUAUAAUAAAUUUGGAAUUGUUUGCUGUUAUUUGAUUUUAAUACCCUUUUGCAGGUUCCCUAAUGUUAUUCAAUAUGUUGGAGGAGGCUAUUGCGUUACUGGCAGUUAAUGAUACAAACCAUCUCUUGACUGUACAUCAAUGACCAAGUCAAUGAAAAACAGGUGCCAAUAUGACUUUUUUCCUUAUGCAAACGAAAACAAGUUUGUUGUAUUGUAUUGAGUGAUAUAUAUGAAGAUGGUAUUUUUAAUCUAAUCAUUGUAUGAUAUAGUAGAAUAUACAAUUGAUUAUCACAGUAAAAUCGUAUGAUGAAAACUAAUCAUAUUGUUUUGUGAUAUUUUUUAAAAUAAAUUUUCUGAAAAUUGGAGCUAA